rnacentral:rRNA from 1 species
UACGAAGGGGGCUAGCGUUGUUCGGAAUUACUGGGCGUAAAGCGCACGUAGGCGGAUAUUUAAGUCAGGGGUGAAAUCCCAGAGCUCAACUCUGGAACUGCCUUUGAUACUGGGUAUCUGAGUAUGGAAGAGGUAAGUGGAAUUGCGAGUGUAGAGGUGAAAUUCGUAGAUAUUCGCAGGAACACCGGUGGCGAAGGCGGCGACCUGGUCCGAUACUGACGCUGAGGCGCGAAAGCGUGGGGAGCAAACAGG